rnacentral:lncRNA from 1 species
GCGAGGAUGAGGAGGAGGACCCCGAGGAGGAUGAGGAGGAGGACCCCGAGGAGGAUCCAGAAGAGGACCCCCUGGCGUCACCGAGGAACAGUCGUACCGCGACUCAGAGUUCACAAAUUUGAUAGUUUUAGCUUGUGGAUGUACUCCGGAAACGAUAAUUCGUUCCAAUGACUAUGAUUUUAUUUAUGUUAUUUCUAGCUAGCAUUAGUACGGAAAUGUUGGUCUCUAGGACGUUCCGUGAAUAAAAACCCUUUUGUGAUUGCUUAACUAGUAAGCCGAUACAUCAUAGGGAGUACUAGAUAGACUUUACUUACAUUUUGGGUUGACAAUGUAAAAGCCCUCGAUGAGACAAUUUUCCAUGA